rnacentral:tRNA from 1 species
GGGGGUGUAGCUCAUUGGUAGAGUAGGUGCAUAACACACAAGAAUGCCUGGGUUCAAUCCUGGCACCCCCC